AUGGAGUGGUACUUGGCGAAGUGCACGUCGACGGUAGUCAAACUUGACAUUAUUGGUUCAUGGGUCUUCCAUGUCGGUAGUCAUACAUAUAUCAUAGAGGAACUUGGUCUUGCGAAGAGCAAGACAAAAGGGCCUCAGGCAGGCAGCAGCAAGGAGGCGAUGGUGCAGCGGGAAGCAGCCAAAGGUGCACGGGGCAGCGGAGAAAACGUGGUGCUCGGACAUGGUCGCUGGCGCACACAGUGGACAUGGAGGCAGGGCGAUGAGAAGGCGCACGGCUCGGUGACGAGGAGGACCAGCGGGUCCAGGGGGUGGAGGUGA
rnacentral:rRNA from 1 species